GACAAAGGGAACACCAUCCAAGCUCGAGGACCAAUGAGGAGUUUCUUUCACUUUUCAAUCACCCUUAGUCGUGCCCGGGAUUAGGAGAGGGCUCUUGACUCUCUCUUUCACACAAAACCAAGAGUGCUUGUCAGCAACUUGAAGGAAAAAAGAAGCGAAUAAUACGUGAGUCCAGGGUUAUCGUGUUUAAUUGGAUUAGAUGGUGUCAUGUUGAUGUCCGGAGCAUGACAAACAACGGGCAGCAGGACGACCAGACUAAACGCAUCUAUUCAUUUGUUUCAAUUUUUUUUCCAUUUUAGACAGAAUUUUUCUUGGAGUUCUCAUUCAGAAAAGGAGGCUGUCUGAUUCAUAGAAAUGGUGCACGCGUUAGGGGCCCUCCUGAAAAAGAAGCGAGCCACGCUGAGGCUGAGAACUGUGGCACUGGAGGUUUAUAUUAUCGGGAUUGUUUUGUUGGCUGUGCGCUGCGCUCAUCUGUGCGUCAAGCAGCGGCAGCAAUAACAAGGUGCGCGCAGCUGUGCGUGCAGGUGCGCGGCGUCCACCUGCUCAACGGCACAGAAAGGCAGAGAGGGGGUGGAGGAGGCGGAGGGGAUGGAGACUGGGCAGAUACAGAGCUUUGCUUUCCCAACGUCCACCGAAAUGGGAAGAUUAGCAGCGAGUUCGGGUGAAAACGUCUCGGUUUCAUAUUUACUGAGGCGAAACAACGAGGCAGGAUAAACGCGUCGCACCUUUGCAACUUUUCCUAGAAACAUUAUUUAAAAACUUCAGCAUGUGCUCUGGCAAAGUUUUGAUUCGAGAGUAAAAAACACGACGAAGCCUCUGAUGUGACGAAGAUCAGCCGCAGCGCAGGUAACGUAACAGUUGUAGAUCAAAGACACAACGCGGAGGAGGAUCAGAGGACAAGCAUCAGUCUCCACGAGUCUCAUUAAGAAAAGUUACGCCGACGCUCACUCGAGAAUUCCUUGUCUAGAAAAACGAAUAGAGAAAGCUUAAAAAAAAAAAAAUAAUAAUUUAAGGCAUUGAUGCGAGUUCUGCGCGUGGCAGGUGUGCCGUUUGAAGUCCGCUAAGGACUGAGACCUUCUGUUCAUUUUAUAAGGUCCUGUUCGUUUCCCCCUCGUCUCUUAAACUGUCUGCGUCGGUCGCGUAAAAACUUUGUGUCCUGUCUGGAGAGUUCAGCCACAAACAAACAUAAACGGGACAAAUCCAGGAUAAGCAGCUCGCGUUUUGUUUAGUAACUGCCAGAAAACAAUACGAACUAAUACACCAAUACUAAAAAGCUGGGAUUAAUUGGAAAACAAAAAGCAUUUGCUGCAGCGAAACUGAAUUGAAACCAGUCAGAUCCGACGACAGAUGGAGAGCUGAGCAGACAAAGCGGGAAGGUUUUAGUGGUCUCCACCGGGGCCGGACAGCCUUUGAUGUGGGCCCGUUAAGGAGAAAGGAGUCUGAGGGGGGAGUCAGGCCAAAAGGAAGGCUGUGGAGGAAGUUGCAGACAGACAGGAGGCUGGAGACCGUUUCCUUUUGGCUGCAUCUUUACCUACAGUACAUCGAACUAAGCCGCCAGGUGAACACGCCCACGUGGAAGUGGACACGACGUUUUCAAGAGUGAACCUUGGCACAGGCGAGACGCACGCACGCACGCAUGCAUGCACGCGCGCCUCAACGUAUAGGCCCGAAGAGCAGCAGCGCACGGGUUAACAUGAAUUAAAGUGGAGGCAGACGCCUCCCAGCUCAUCUUCUAGGAAGGGCCUAAAGCAGGUGGGCGGCAGCGACUGCGCCACAUCUGGAUGCGUGUUUGUUGUUUUGAAUGGCAUUUCUGUCCAGAUGAGACCUGACGUGGGAGAAACCAGACCCAAUAAUAAUUACAGGCAAGGCAUUUUGUUAUGAAAAUUACCAGACUUUUAGCGUUUCUGAUCUACUACAUGAAGACUGAUGUCAAAAUAAAAAGGUGGAGGCAAAGUUGGAGUCUAACAACCUCACUGUUCCCGGCUCCUGUCACGUCUGCUCUAAGCUGAGGGGGACCCUCACGCAAAGGGGGGUUCUUUUCUCAAAUGCACUUAGUAAUGGCCCACAAGAACCGGAUCGCUGAUGAAGCACCGCGGCCUGACUGUUGUGAUCGGCGAGUUUCAUAAAUGAGAGGAGGAGGCUGGACAUGCGUCCGUCACAGAUUAGAAAAGGUUACAAUAAUAAUAAAUAAAUGCAGUGUGGUUAAAAUAAUUCUUGGGGCAUUAGGAAACGACUCAAAGCAUUCAAAAUUCAACAUUGAAUUUAUUUUGAAUUAAUGCAUCGAUGGUUGAACAUUUGUUUCGAAUUAAAUUUCAAACAGGUGCAAUCAAUUAUUUUCCUAUUUAAAUUAUUUCACCUUUAAAUAAAAAAAAAAAAAACACGAACGUUUCUUUUGUUAUUAUCAAA